GGUGAACACGGAGCUUGCUCUGUGGGAUCAGUGGCGAACGGGUGAGUAACACGUGAGCAACCUGCCCCUGACUCUGGGAUAAGCGCUGGAAACGGCGUCUAAUACUGGAUAUGUGACGUGACCGCAUGGUCUGCGUUUGGAAAGAUUUUUCGGUUGGGGAUGGGCUCGCGGCCUAUCAGCUUGUUGGUGAGGUAAUGGCUCACCAAGGCGUCGACGGGUAGCCGGCCUGAGAGGGUGACCGGCCACACUGGGACUGAGACACGGCCCAGACUCCUACGGGAGGCAGCAGUGGGGAAUAUUGCACAAUGGGCGGAAGCCUGAUGCAGCAACGCCGCGUGAGGGAUGACGGCCUUCGGGUUGUAAACCUCUUUUAGCAGGGAAGAAGCGAAAGUGACGGUACCUGCAGAAAAAGCGCCGGCUAACUACGUGCCAGCAGCCGCGGUAAUACGUAGGGCGCAAGCGUUAUCCGGAAUUAUUGGGCGUAAAGAGCUCGUAGGCGGUUUGUCGCGUCUGCUGUGAAAUCCCGAGGCUCAACCUCGGGCCUGCAGUGGGUACGGGCAGACUAGAGUGCGGUAGGGGAGAUUGGAAUUCCUGGUGUAGCGGUGGAAUGCGCAGAUAUCAGGAGGAACACCGAUGGCGAAGGCAGAUCUCUGGGCCGUAACUGACGCUGAGGAGCGAAAGGGUGGGGAGCAAACAGGCUUAGAUACCCUGGUAGUCCACCCCGUAAACGUUGGGAACUAGUUGUGGGGU
rnacentral:rRNA from 1 species